rnacentral:tRNA from 1 species
AUUAAGGUGGCAGAGCCCGGAGAUGCAAAAGGUCUAAGCCCUUUCGACAGAGGUCCAACUCCUCUCCUUAAUA